ensembl:lncRNA
GCUGGAGACUUUCUUGCUGGACAUCCCUCCUUAGUGGAGGUCUUCCAAAGGCUAGAAACUGUCCAUCACACUGUAUGUGUAGUGAAGAUUCUCCUUGUAAGAAGUACGCUCAAAAAGAGUGCCCACAUCCAAGAAUUGGUGCUUAAACUCCAUAGAAAGGAGGUGCUAGCUGAAGGAGGUAUUGUGAAAGACUGCAGCCAAAGCUCCAUCUUGAUAACGUUUUUAUGGGGUGAAACUACAAAGAGUAACUCAGCAGUUGCCAGCAAGGCUAUGUUAGCAUGAGAGAAUAGCCAGAAGCAGGCAUGCCCAUCUACCUGCCCGGCUGCUCUCAGUUCCUUUGUCUCACAACUGGGCCUUGCUGCACCAAUGCCACAUUGAACUGCCAUCACCCACCACAGGUAUAGAUGGAUGUUUUGGGAUGCAGAGCCUGGCAAAGAGGACGCCAUCAUCCUGUGGAUUCAGAGAGUUGCAUCCCAGCUCAGGAUAGCUCUUGUCUCUGCUCUGCGGAAGUUUUUGGCACAAAUCCCCUGAACACAGGGAAGGAAAGCAGAAAGGCAGGUUAACAAAGAGCAUCCUUUCCAGGAGCACAUGAUUAGAGGUCUCAUAGCUCCACACCUCUGCUCCUCUGCACAGACCAUCCCUGACCUGACCCCAGGGGCUGCUUGGCUUAGGCAGGGAGAGCUGUGGUCACGAAUGUCCCCAUGCCAGGUGACACGAGCGUGCCAUGGCUUUGUUUUCUCUGUACCUCCUUCAUACCUGGUGCUGCAGUUUGGCUCACCCUCCACUGGCCAGUUUGACAGCAGCAGUGGAGUUCACUGAAGAGAUUAUUUGUACCAGGAAUAUUUCCAUGUGCCACGCCAGAAUCCAACAAAGCUCUUUCAAAAUAAUGCUGUCUAGUAAAAUCAGCCAGCUGAAAGGCAUUUUGCACAGUAUCAAAAAUGUAAAUAGAAUGGACAGUUGGCUGUUUAUUAUGCAUUUGUAUGGAUAUGUAGUCAUUGGGCAAGUCCAAAACACAUACGUACUUCAGAAAACAAAACAGAUGAAUAUAAAACUUAUUUACAUUGAAAUAGCUGUUCCAUACAAGUGUGGUCCUAUAGUUUAACAGAAACUGAUCAGGAAAUAGAAGAUGCCUGUAACUCACAAUGUUGUAUUAGAACUCUGUACUUUCUCACACAUUUCAUAUUUGCAGGAAUUGUCCCCAGUGAAGCUUGCAAGAUUCAGUCCUCCAGGAUCAAGCCCUCAAUUUGUACAUUAACAGAGUACUUCAGACUCUAGCAUAUUUAAUCUUCUGUAACUAAAAUUUUCCCAAUAGUAUCACAAAUACUUUAUGAAAAAUAAAUAUUUAG